GAACGUUGGGCUUACUGAUGUAGUCUGUGGUGAUAUAUAUUUUUUAACCAAUCUUAAGUAUGCUCUGACUUCUGGGUUCAUGUGAAUUAGACUUUCCAAGAGAAGUGGAAGGAUUCUGAACUGCAGGAAACACUGAUAAUCAAUAGUCAAGUGAGAUGAGUACCCAAAGUAGGAGUCAAACCAUGGCAGUGUGAGGGGAGCACGUGUUUUUUUUCCACAGCAAGCUGAGACAGCCAGAGGCAGAGAGUGGCUGGGGUCUGGUCCAGCAUCCCACCCCACUUCCUCUUUGCACCAAGUCCUCCAGGGAUGACAUCCCUCUCCUUUGGGAACCCAAAAUGCACAAAAGGGUGGUGAUAUGGAACCAGAACAUGAACUCUUUAACUGCCCACUGUUAUGCAUAAUGUUCUGAUGUGGGAUGCUGACAACAAAAAUCACAAAAACAUGAUGCAGGCCUUUCAUUUCUCUUUGGGACUAUCACUCCUUUCUAGCGACUCACAAGCUGGUAUGUGAACAGAGGCAAUAGCAAAGGAUGAAGUACUUAUUUCUUUUGAAUGAAAACAAUACAUAUGGUGUUAUCAGAAUGACAAA